rnacentral:rRNA from 1 species
AGAGAGAGACAUGCGCGCAUAUCAAUAAGCGGAGGAAAAGAAACUAACAAGGAUUCCCCUAGUAACGGCGAGUGAAGCGGGAAGAGCUCAAAUUUGAAAUCUUAAAGGGUUUCCCUUUACGAAUUGUAGUUUAAAGAAGUGUUUUCUGUUGAGGUUUUGGUAAAAGUUCUUUGGAAUAGGACAUCAUAGAGGGUGAGAAUCCCGUAUUUGACCUUUACUUUCAACUUUGUGAUACACUUUCAAAGAGUCGGAUUGUUUGGGAAUGCAGUCCAAAAUGGGUGGUAAAUUUCAUCUAAAGCUAAAUAUUGGCGAGAGACCGAUAGCGAACAAGUACCGUGAGGGAAAGAUGAAAAGAACUUUGAAAAGAGAGUUAAACAGUACGUGAAAUUGUCAAAAGGGAAGCGUUUGACACCAGUGUUGUUUUUCUGAAAAUCAAUUAAAGAACUGUUUAUGCUAAGCUGUUUAGACUUUAUCAGCUAAUCUGUUUAGUUUUGAGCUUUUCUUUAAUGCACUUUUCAGUUAACAAGUCAACAUCAAUUUCUUUUGCUGUAAAAAAGCUUGAGGAAGGUGGCUUGAGAUUCGUCUUAAGUGUUUAUAGCCUCUUGCCUAUGCAGUCGGAGAGAUUGAGGUCUGCAGGCGUAGAUCCUUCGGGGCUAAAUGCAUUUGUGCUAAGUUAUAGCAUUUUAUAGACAACUUGUUGACUAUGAUUUGUCUUGUAGCUUACUCGCUUAUGUUAUUUUACCUACGCUUAGGAUGUUGAGCGCAUGUCUCUCUCU